UGAUAAAGUUUAUAAAACAUAGUUGUGGACUUUCGGAGAUUUACAAUAUGGAAAAAAAAAACACCAAGAGACUUUCGGAGAUUUACAAUAUGGAGAAAAAAACAACAAGAGACUCUUGGAGGUUUACCAGAUGAAAACAAUAAAUACACCAAAUGACUCUGGGAGGUUUUCAAGGUGUAAAAAAAAAAAAGGCCAAGAGAUCCUUGAAGGUUUACAAGAUGGAA